rnacentral:rRNA from 1 species
UACGUAGGGUGCGAGCGUUGUCCGGAAUUAUUGGGCGUAAAGGGCUCGUAGGCGGUCUGUCACGUCGGGAGUGAAAACUCAGGGCUUAACCCUGAGCCUGCUUCCGAUACGGGCAGACUAGAGGUAUGCAGGGGAGAACGGAAUUCCUGGUGUAGCGGUGAAAUGCGCAGAUAUCAGGAGGAACACCGGUGGCGAAGGCGGUUCUCUGGGAAUGACCUGACGCUGAGGAGCGAAAGUGUGGGGAGCGAACAGG